rnacentral:lncRNA from 1 species
CACAUAUUUCAAAAUGAAAAGGUUAAUUAAAAAAUUAAAAACAAAAAGUUAAAAAAACAGGGGGAAAGCAGAGGAAAUGAGGACACAUAGUUUCACCGCGGCAUGGUAUUUGGGUCAAGGAAUGAAUCAAGACCAUAUUCGUAAGUUUAAUUACGAGUGGAGCCUAAGAUGAUCCACUCGGGGAUGAACAUGUACACGCCUCCCAAGGCAGCAUGCGUCACACCCAUCAUUUUCACAGAACGAGAGGGCUCUGCUUGUAUCCUAGUACCUGCACGGCCACCACACCAGCCCAAACACGACAAGAGGAAUGGCUUUGUACUUCCAGGCCGUGUUGUGGUGGCAUCUGAAAUCCCAAGGACUGACAUGACACCUCAUUGAGCUGCUAUGAAUUGUGCAUCGUGACCUUGGGAAAUAUGUUGGCGGCAGCACUUCCGUCUCGCUGACACACCUCUCCCCAGACACAGUCCUCAGGCAACAGUCUGGUGAGAUAGGCGGGCGGCUGGACUGGAAAUGAAAACGUCUUCCCUAAAAGAGAACUUUGUGUGGCCUGUUAAUUUAUAGCUUCCUCCGGAGUCUUACUUCUUUUCCAGACAGACAGACAAGUAGAGCAGCUUCAGAGUCUAGAAUGAGACAAAUUUCAUAUUCAGGCUAGCAUCUUUUUGGUCUUAGAAAAAUUUUAUCAGUGGAUUGUGAAAUAGUCAUCUCUGCUUUACAUCUAAAUCAUGCCAAAGGAAGGGUAGGGCUCAGAACCUCCUGAAUUGUGUUUUGCAUUAAUCAGGCUCACCUUGGGAACCAAAAUUCAGCACUUUUUUUUUUUUUUUAAAUCGAAGCAAUGAAUGAUCGGAGCCAUCCCUUUGCGCGUAUAAAGAGGUCCACAUCAUUGGAGAGACCAUGGCUAGACCUGGAAAAACAGCUUUGCAUUGUUUGGGCAAAGCAAUGCCAAAUCAUUCUCUCCCUCCUCUCCUCCUUCUGCAGGUACUGCCCGAAGCCCUCCCGCUCUCCUGUCACCCACGUCACUUUGCAUAACUGCUCCCUGUGUCACCUGCGAAUGGUCUCACCUUCUCCCCCUCACGGCAGAGCUCUUGAGGGGGCACAAAAGCCGCAGAUGUCCAAGGUCAGCCUUCUGAGCGAGAUGGAACUGCCCUCUCACAUGCCAUUGUCACCUGGAAGCCCUGAUUGGCCUUGUCACCGCAGGGAGGCCAGAGCCACGCCGUUGGGGGCACAGAAACAGCUUGAUCAACUGAGAGUGACAAUGGGAAAGACCUACUGA